GAGAGAGGGAGGGAGGGAGGAGCGCCGGGGAUGACGCGUCCUGGCCCCACCUUCUCAGCUUGCCCCGCCUCCUCCUCCUCCUCCUCCUCCUCUCCGUCUCCUCCAGGAAGGUUUAGCUUAGUCCUUCUCCAACGGGCGCCCUCUGCUGGUUGGGGGUCUUUUGGCUGCCGCAAACAGCGUCGCAAAGCGGGCUGGGGGGUGCCCCAGUUGUUCGCCCUCCCACAGCACAUCUGGGGGCGCCAGGUUGGAGAAGCUGCUUUCAGGACAGAGCGCUGGAGCCGCCCUCUUUGACCAGUGGUCCCAAAGCACAGGAGAAAUUUAAGCGGCUCGCGUUAACACCGAAUAAAAUGGGAUGAGCAGAAAGGAGAUGGUAAGAAAGUUUUAAAGUCAUCAAAUGACCUAGAAAGCGGCCAGCCCUCUUUUA